rnacentral:lncRNA from 1 species
GCUACGAUCCAGGAAACACAGCAAUGGCUGCUCAAAAACAGAUUCUCUUCCUACACAAGACUGUUCUCUAAUUUUUCAGGUGCCGACUUAUUAAAACUGACAAAGGAGGAUUUAGUUCAAAUUUGUGGUGCAGCCGAUGGAAUUCGGCUCUAUAAUUCACUGAAGUCAAGGUAAAAUACUGUGAACUGUUUUGCUUGAAAUAAGAAUGUACCUUUCUUCGCGUGGGGAAUUUGGGCAGAAUGUGUUUCCACGCUAGGUUGGCGUGUGUGCCUGUGUGCGCCAUCGAGCAUUGGCAGCAUUGUGCUCACAAGAAGACUGUUUUGUGUACACCUUCAGGGCAGGCCCAGAUAUGAUGCAGGCACUGAUGAGGGCAGAGGUAGACUGUAAGACUGGUAGAAAUGCACAUGGGCAGUACUGAUUUCUUGAAGACGACUGGGUUUGUUGCCAAGAAAACAAAACUUCUAAUUUAGGUGAGCUAUACAGAAUCUAUGGUUUUCAAGGUCAUGACUAUUACUAAACAGUUAUUAAAAAUGUAAACUAAUUGUGAAUUAAAAUGACAGAAACUGUAAAUUGUGCUGGCUUGUAAGAACCAUUUACUAUCAUUGCUCUUUCUAUACUUGUGGUGUGAGAAUU